AUUCGAGAAGGCAUCCUGAUUGAGAGGUCGUCCCGAUCGAGAGGUCGUCCCGAUCGAGAGGUCGUCCCGAUCGAGAGGUCGUCCCGAUCGAGAAGGCGUCCCGAUCAAGAAGGCGUCCUGAUCGAGAAGUCGUCCUGAUCGAGAAGGCGUCCUGAUCGAGAAGGCGUCCUGAUCGAGAAGGCGUCCUGAUCGAGAAGUCGUCCCGAUCGAGAGGUCGUCCCGAUCGAGAGGUCGUCCCGAUCGAGAGGUCGUCCUGAUCAAACAGCCCACCGACAGCUUGAGUAGUUUAAAACAGCAGCUAAUAACUGUUGCUAUUUUUUGUGCUAUUUUAUGUCCAUGAUUAGAAGAAUUAUAUUCCACACCCCAGACAGUCUGAACUGAAGCGCACCGGACCCUGAGCCCGAGUGACCCUGAACAGGACUCACUGAGAAAUUACCGACUCAGCUGACCCUCUGAACAGAAGACGAGCAAGUCGUCAUGCGUGGUACUGACCGCUGGGGAUUUUUU
ensembl:lncRNA